UGCGUAGGUGGCAUGGUAAGUCGGAUGUGAAAUCCCGGGGCUCAACCCCGGAACUGCAUUCGAUACUGCUGAGCUAGAGUACUGGAGAGGAGAUUGGAAUUUACGGUGUAGCAGUGAAAUGCGUAGAUAUCGUAAGGAAGACCAGUGGCGAAGGCGGAUCUCUGGACAGUUACUGACACUGAGGACAAGGCCAGGGGGAGCGAAACG
rnacentral:rRNA from 1 species